rnacentral:rRNA from 1 species
CGGAGAAUGUUAUCACGGGAGACACACGGCGGGUGCUAACGUCCGUCGUGAAGAGGGAAACAACCCAGACCGCCAGCUAAGGUCCCAAAGUCAUGGUUAAGUGGGAAACGAUGUGGGAAGGCCCAGACAGCCAGGAUGUUGGCUUAGAAGCAGCCAUCAUUUAAAGAAAGCGUAAUAGCUCACUGGUCGAGUCGGCCUGCGCGGAAGAUGUAACGGGGCUAAACCAUGCACCGAAGCUGCGGCAGCGACGCUGAUGCGUUGUUGGGUAGGGGAGCGUUCUGUAAGCCUGYGAAGGUGGCCUGUGAGGGUUGCUGGAGGUAUCAGAAGUGCGAAUGCUGACAUAAGUAACGAUAAAGCGGGUGAAAAGCCCGCUCGCCGGAAGACCAAGGGUUCCUGUCCAACGUUAAUCGGGGCAGGGUGAGUCGACCCCUAAGGCGAGGCCGAAAGGCGUAGUCGAUGGGAAACGGGUUAAUAUUCCCGUACUUGGUGUUACUGCGAAGGGGGGACGGAGAAGGCUAUGUUGGCCGGGCGACGGUUGU